GAUGAACGCUGGCGGCGUGCCUAAUACAUGCAAGUCGAGCGAACAGACGAGGAGCUUGCUCCUCUGACGUUAGCGGCGGACGGGUGAGUAACACGUGGAUAACCUACCUAUCAGACUGGGAUAACUUCGGGAAACCGGAGCUAAUACCGGAUAAUAUAUUGAACCGCAUGGUUCAAUAGUGAAAGACGGUUUUGCUGUCACUUAUAGAUGGAUCCGCGCCGCAUUAGCUAGUUGGUAAGGUAACGGCUUACCAAGGCAACGAUGCGUAGCCGACCUGAGAGGGUGAUCGGCCACACGGGAACUGAGACACGGUCCAGACUCCUACGGGAGGCAGCAGUAGGGAAUCUUCCGCAAUGGGCGAAAGCCUGACGGAGCAACGCCGCGUGAGUGAUGAAGGUCUUCGGAUCGUAAAACUCUGUUAUUAGGGAAGAACAAAUGUGUAAGUAACUAUGCACGUCUUGACGGUACCUAAUCAGAAAGCCACGGCUAACUACGUG
rnacentral:rRNA from 1 species